ACGAGUUAGGGUCUUCUAGGCCCGACCUCCCAACCCUUUGUUUACUGAACCAUUGUUGCUUCGGUGGGUCCGUCUCACGACCGCCGGGGGGACCGCCGCGAGGCACCCCCCUGGCCCGCACCCGCCGAUAGCCCAACCCUUAAACCCUUUAUGAAUCGUGUCUUCUGUCUGAAUCAUGAUUAAAAAUCAAAACA
rnacentral:misc_RNA from 1 species